rnacentral:rRNA from 1 species
GACGGAAGGUGCAAGCGUUGCUCGGAAUCACUGGGCGUAAAGGGUGCGUAGGCGGCCGUGCAAGUCUGGCGUGAAAGCCCCGGGCUCAGCCCGGGAAGUGCGCUCGAAACUGCGCGGCUCGAGUGCCGGAGGGGAGAGUGGAAUUCCUGGUGUAGCGGUGAAAUGCGUAGAUAUCAAGAGGAACACCUGAGGUGAAGACGGGUUGCUGGGCCGACACUGACGCUGAGUGCGCGAAAGCCAGGGGAGCAAACGGG